UACGUAGGGUGUAAGCGUUGUCCGGAAUUAUUGGGCGUAAAGAGCUCGUAGGCGGUCUGUCGCGUCUGCUGUGAAAAUCCAGGGCUCAACCCUGGACCUGCAGUGGGUACGGGCAGACUAGAGUGCGGUAGGGGAGAUCGGAAUUCCUGGUGUAGCGGUGAAAUGCGCAGAUAUCAGGAGGAACACCGGUGGCGAAGGCGGAUCUCUGGGCCAUUACUGACGCUGGAGGAGCGAAAGCGUGGGGAGCGAACAGGA
rnacentral:rRNA from 1 species